GAUGAAGAACGCAGCGAAAUGCGAUAAGUAAUGUGAAUUGCAGAAUUCAGUGAAUCAUCGAAUCUUUGAACGCACAUUGCGCCCCCUGGUAUUCCGGGGGGCAUGCCUGUCCGAGCGUCAUUACAACCCUCAAGCUCAGCUUGGUGUUGGGCCCCGCCGCCCCGGCGGGCCCUAAAGUCAGUGGCGGUGCCGUCCGGAUCCGAGCGUAGUAAUUCUUCUCGCUCUGGAGGUCCGGUCGUGUGCUCGCCAGCAACCCCCAAUUUUUUUCAGGUUGACCUCGGAUCAGGUAGGGAUACCCGCUGAACUUAAGCAUAUCAAUAAGCGGAGGA
rnacentral:misc_RNA from 1 species